rnacentral:rRNA from 1 species
UACGAAGGGGGCAAGCGUUAUCCGGAAUUAUUGGGCGUAAAGAGCUCGUAGGCGGUUUGUCGCGUCUGCCGUGAAAGUCCGGGGCUCAACUCCGGAUCUGCGGUGGGUACGGGCAGACUAGAGUGAUGUAGGGGAGACUGGAAUUCCUGGUGUAGCGGUGAAAUGCGCAGAUAUCAGGAGGAACACCGAUGGCGAAGGCAGGUCUCGUGGGCAUUAACUGACGCUGAGGAGCGAAAGCAUGGGGAGCGAACAGG